AAUAGAAGAGGAAGAGCGAGCGGGUCAGGUGACGGCCAUGGCCAUGGCGCUCGCAGAUCCGUCGGCCCCGUCGUCGCCGCUGCGCUCGCAGGUUCCGACUCUUCUGAGCUACUGCUGCAAAUGAUAUUUGGUCCCCAUGGCUUCUACGAGGACCAGAAGCGUUUCUUUCAGCAGCCUCUCCUCUCGCCCAACGAAGGCGGAAGAUGCAAGCGGCAGCUCCUCACCUAGCCGUAUGGUGAUGGAUUCAACGGAGAAGAGGAAGCAUGUUCCCUCCAUUGCCUGGCUUGUUUCAGGAAGUAAGUAUGCAAGAUAGCUUCAGGCAAAGUGUACAGAGGCUGCAGCUGAAGCCGGACUUUGAAGGUUGCAAGUUGGUGGAUCAUCAGUUAUUAUCAGGUUUCUGUUGGAACAAUCACUGAAAACGAUGAUAGACUUUGUCUCACAUGUGCCGCUCACUGAUGAGAAGCACACUGAAGUGAGUGGUGCUAGAGAAGGAGUGUCCGAGAAAGUACACCAAUGAUGCCCUGCAAGGUGAGCAGAAGCUAAGGAGAUGCUCCGUGUAGCCCCUAAGAAGCAAAAAGGGAGCAAAAGAACAUGUCCGCUUCAAGGGAGUAGCCGCUGCUAGCAGAUGUGCCAUGAAGAAAUUAUAGUAGAAGGGCGAUGCGAGCUACUGAUUGUUGAAU